rnacentral:rRNA from 1 species
GAUGAACGCUAGCUACAGGCUUAACACAUGCAAGUCGAGGGGAAACGACAUCGAAAGCUUGCUUUUGAUGGGCGUCGACCGGCGCACGGGUGAGUAACGCGUAUCCAACCUGCCCAUCACUUGGGAAUAACCUUGCGAAAGUAAGACUAAUACCCAAUGACAUCCCACGAAGACAUCUGAAUGGGAUUAAAGAUUUCUCGGUGAUGGAUGGGGAUGCGUCUGAUUAGCUUGUUGGCGGGGUAACGGCCCACCAAGGCAACGAUCAGUAGGGGUUCUGAGAGGAAGGUCCCCCACAUUGGAACUGAGACACGGUCCAAACUCCUACGGGAGGCAGCAGUGAGGAAUAUUGGUCAAUGGGCGAGAGCCUGAACCAGCCAAGUAGCGUGCAGGAUGACGGCCCUAUGGGUUGUAAACUGCUUUUAGAAGGGAAUAAAGUGGGUCUCGUGAGACUUUUUGCAUGUACCUUAUGAAUAAGGACCGGCUAAUUCCGUG